rnacentral:other from 1 species
UAUCUCCUGCAGCGUUCGAUUAGUGCUGGGUGUUUCCUGAACCUGUUUUUACCCCGGAAGUAGACUCUCUAUUGGUGUGCAUGCUCGUUCAUACGGGAAGCCUGAUGUAGAGAUGAAACCUCCACUUGAACCUCCGGUUCAAGGACGAAGGCAUGAGACGGCGCAGGCGGGAGAUAC